GUACCUGGCGGCACGCCUAACACAUGCAAGUCGAACGAAGUAGCAAUACUUAGUGGCAGACGGGUGAGUAACAUGUAGGUAUCUGCCCUUUGGCCUGGAAUAACACGAGGAAACUUGUGCUAAUACCGGAUAAGUCUUUACGGAGAAAGCUUUAUGCACCAUUGGAUGAGCCUGCACUUGAUUAGUUUGUUGGUGGGGUAAUGGCCUACCAAGACUGUGAUCAAUAGCUGAUUUGAGAGGAUGAUCAGCCACAUUGGGACUGAGA
rnacentral:rRNA from 1 species